GUUUUGUUUUGUUUUGUUUUAUUUUAUUUUUUUUUUUAAUUUGGCUUUGCCAAAUGACCAAAAUCUUCAGAUAUAAGAACUAUAGUGUAACGUUAUAGAAUUAUUUAAAAAAAGAUUUAGUCAUCUGAGAUAAAAUAAUUAUUUUCCACCUAUUAUGAUGGUAAUAAGCAAUUUCUGGUAAUUGCAUGUAUGUCAUGUGGAAUCAAGGUUUUGUUAGUUUUGUUUUUAGAGUGAGGAUAUAAUUUUUCAAGUUUGACUGAUUAAAAGGAAAAAGGAAGACAACCCAGGUGUGACUGAGAUGUCCUUGACUUGCCUACCAGGACAUCUCUGUUAACUUUCUGUGUCAGGAAUCAGCCUGUAGAUGUCCCCCAACACAUAUUGUGAUACAUUCAGUGUUCAGUUCUGUUGAAAGCAGCUGUAAAAUUUAUAAAUUACCAACAGCUCAAGUAAAAGACAGACACAGAGAUGAAAAGCUGCUCAGGAAUGGCUAUUCUGUGGGAGGACAGUUGAGGUAAUGACACAGUAAAGAGCAUCUCAGACCAAAAGAAACAUGAGCUAAACAAAAACUGAUAAAAAGAAAUAGAAAUAAGAGUCUUACAGAAAGCUGAAGACAUCAGAAAAAGGGAGCCAAUAAUGACACAGUUCCCUGUGACUCUUAGAUAUGGAAAUGAUAGAUUUUCCUCUGGCUUAGUGAACCAGAACUGACCUUAGCACUGUAACACAUGAUGAACCGAAUGCUGAACUUCCAUGAAAUGACAGGUUUGCAAGUGCAUAAUGUCUUUGACAAAACCAGCAGAUUAGGGGGAGAAAAUAUAGCUCAAUCCAUAAUCAUCCUGAUGAGAUGAUGAAUUUUGGUGACCCUUAUCUGUUUAGCGAAGGUAAUUUAGGGGUGAAUAGUGCCUACAUCAGUGGUGGACCUGGCCCUGCCUGCAUACCCUACAGUGGAGCUGGAUGAACCCUUCAUAUGGUUUGUAACAAUGGGUGGAAUCCUAAACAGUUGUUUGUUUCACCCAUUUUCAGCCUGUGAGCAGUUGAUUUCUUCUCACACAAGACUUUGAUAAAUGGUUUCUGCUUGUAUCAAUAGCCAUAUUCAUAUGCAAACAAGCACAUUUGUCAAAGAGAAAGAGUAAUAACUGGUCACAAUGUAUUAUUUGCUCUGUUAUUUGUCAUUUUAGUUGUUAUUCUUCUGUUUUCAAAACUAUCCCUGGAGGACCUGGAAGAAUAUAAAGUAACCUUUCCCUCAACACAAGUAAUGAAGAGUUAAAGCAAAAAGUAAUGGGUGACUUUUAGCCAGGAAAUAUCAUAGCACUUACAUUAUUAUACUUAUUUCUCUUUGAUCAAUGAUCUGCAUACUGGAAGACUACUGUGUUCCACUCUUUCCUCCAUUCUCCUCUUCCUUAAGCUGCACAAUCCUUUCUUUCAUCCCUUCUUCAGUGAAAACUUUUUCAAGAUUUUAUAUGUCACUUCCCUCUGGAGUCUCUCCAGGUGUUAUACAUUUUUCAGGAAGGAACACUGUGAUAUUAUCUUGUCAUGCUUAGGUUGCUGUUCACCAUAACAUACAUAAUUGUUUCUACAGAACUGUUAGAUAAUAUUUUGGCUUGUUUUCCCCAUUAGUUCUUCCUAAAUUGAAAUAUUUUGAUGACAAAUCAUAAUUACCUACACGCUAAAUACAAUUUUCAAUAUUUCUCCAUUCACUUUUCAGUAUUUUUCUCUUACUCAGCCUCCAAGAUUGUUGAACCAAUUACAUUUUUCUCUAUAAAGGUGGAAAAAAAUCCUUAGAGGUAAAGAAAAGAAGUAAACGUGAGAAUAAAGGUUUGACUCAAUGAUCUUGGAGGUCUUUUCUAACCUUAAUGUUUCUAUGUUUCUAAGAGUCUAUAUAUUUAUUUCAGUAUGAUUUUGGACACUGUUAGUGAGGAAUCUUAUUUGACUGGUACUCAUCUGCUGCUAAUCAGACUUUCCCAAAGUCACUCAGCAAGCAUUUUGAUGUAACUAAUGCAGUACAGAAAUGGAGAUUGCAUUCUGAUCAAUUCAUGUACUGACAGGGGAAAAUAAGAAGUCCUAGAAUAACUAUAAUACUCACUCAAAAAACAUUUAAAAUGUGAUACAGUAAAGUAUUUCUAAAAAUCAAUUUUUCGUGGACAAACCACAAUAAGUUUUUUCUUCUAUAAUUCUUAAUGUAUAAAAGAUAUAUUUACAAAAUUUGUUUCUAGUAGUUUCUAAAGGAAUUUACAAAAAAAAAUUGACUGAAGGAAGUACGUAUCAGAAAAUAUAUCUGUAACACAGUUCUGCAUUAAGAUUUUUCUCAUUCCAUGGAUGAGCUAAGGUGAAUAAAUUUCUGCAGGUAUAUUGUUUCUGGCCUGUAAGAGGAUGUGUAAUUGAGCUCUUUGACUUGUAGAGUGAGUCCCAGUCUAAAGGAAUGUAAAAAAUUGCAUCUAAGCUUUCAAGAAACAAGUUGCACACAGGGGACUUGCUGUGAAGGAGCUGUUGAAAUGUAAGGUGCUAUGACUUUUAUAACAAGGUAACCACAUACACAGAGCCUUCUGAAUGAUUGAUUGUGGUUUUGGUAGUUUUUUAUGGUUUUACUUUUUUUUCCCUUUGCAGUAGUAAUGUAUUUUAUUUUGCUUUGUUUUCUGAGACAAACCUGUGGACGAAUCGUAGGAGGCAGGAAAGAGACAACUUGAACUGCUGCCUGCUUUAGUGAGACUGGGGGUACAAAGAACAUUUUAUAUUUCAUCAAACCCCCAACGAUCAACUAGAGGGAUUGAGGAGAGCAAGUAAGAGUGAGGUCUGGGUAAGCAGUACCACUAGUCAGUGAAGAUUAUGAGUCAAGUGCUAACUAGUACUUUUUCUGUAUAGUACCUCAUUAAAUAAUUUUUUUCAAAGCCAGAGAAGGUGUAUGAUAAUUGCAUUUGGUGAAGAUUGAUUCUACACAUUAAUCAAGGACACUGAGAAGUUUCACAUCAGAUUGGUGCCCUAGCAAGCCAGCUUACUCUGUGCAGUCAGAGAAGCUGUGCAAAUUUCAUGAAUUUCAGCUUUUCACAGCAUCUUUUGUGUUUUCUUGAAGCUCUUUUGCCACACAUCCACAGAAAAGUUCUUCCCAGUGGCAUAGUCAAAGAUACAUCCAUACAUUAAAUGAAUCCUCUUUUUUUGUUGUCACUGUAGAGUUUGCACAUUUCUUUCUCCUAAGAUGGUGGACCAAAAGAAGUAAAUUUAUACCUUUUUUAAAUUUUAAACUAUUUUUUUAAAUAUUUCUCACUAUAUCUGUCAGCUACUCUUUGCUUCCACUUGUUCACGUCUUUUGCAGGGUGAGGAGAAGUUGACCUCAAUACUCUCCACAGUUGUGUCAGGACACGGAAGAAGCCAAUUUCUUUCUUUGACCUCAGCCAUACACAGAAAUAACAGAUGUCUCAGUAUGCUGAGAUCAGACACUAAAGGGAGCUGGGGAGGACAGACGUCGCAUCAACAGUGCUUUCCGUCUUCCUACUUAGUCUCAGUAAAGGGUUGUUUUCUGACCUUUUUCUUCCUAAUUUAAUAAAAUUAUAUUGAACUUGU